rnacentral:rRNA from 1 species
UAGAGAGAGACAUGCGCGCAUAUCAAUAAGCGGAGGAAAAGAAACUAACAAGGAUUCCCCUAGUAACGGCGAGUGAAGCGGGAAGAGCUCAAAUUUGAAAUCUUAAAGGGUUUCCCUUUACGAAUUGUAGUUUAAAGAAGUGUUUUCUGUUGAGGUUUUGGUAAAAGUUCUUUGGAAUAGGACAUCAUAGAGGGUGAGAAUCCCGUAUUUGACCUUUACUUUCAACUUUGUGAUACACUUUCAAAGAGUCGGAUUGUUUGGGAAUGCAGUCCAAAAUGGGUGGUAAAUUUCAUCUAAAGCUAAAUAUUGGCGAGAGACCGAUAGCGAACAAGGUACCGUGAGGGAAAGAUGAAAAGAACUUUGAAAAGAGAGUUAAACAGUACGUGAAAUUGUCAAAAGGGAAGCGUUUGACACCAGUGUUGUUUUUCUGAAAAUCAAUUAAAGAACUGUUUAUGCUAAGUUGUUUAGACUUUAUCAGCUAACUGUUUAGUUUUGAGCUUUUCUUUAAUGCACUUUUCAGUUAACAAGUCAACAUCAAUUUCUUUUGCUGUAAAAAAGCUUGAGGAAGGUGGCUUGAGAUUCGUCUUAAGUGUUUAUAGCCUCUUGCCUCUGCAGUCGGAGAGAUUGAGGUCUGCAGCGUAGAUCCUUCGGGGUUAGAUACAUUUGUGCUAAGUUAUAGCCUUUCAUAGACAACUUGUUGACUAUGAUCAGUCAUGUAGCUUACUCGCUUAUGCUAUUUUACCUACGCUUAGGAUGUUGAGCGCAUGUCUCUCUCU